GUUUGAAAACUCUUUGCUUUCUUUCUCGUUUCGCAUUUGAUUUUUGAGGUAGGAGGAAAUGAACUACACUAAAGAGUCGACGAGGAGGCGUGCACGAGAGCCAGCCUUCUCUGGCACGUGCGUGCCCGCGGAACAGCUUCCACACCUGAUCCUGGUUGCUAGGGAGCUGGUGAUGGUUUGACUGGUUGCUAGGAAAUGCGGCGUGACACCCGCGCAGCAACAGUUUUAACCAGUUGCAAGCCACACGGAUGUUAUUGGGAUGCUUGGCAAAGAUGUGACUCUUCAGUUCAUAUUUAACUGCAGCGAAUGCAACAUUACGAAAAACAGAUAUUUUGGAGUUUAUACAACAGGGGAACAUAAGAUCUCAGAAUAUCCUCACUGCAAAUGCUUAAACAUUUACCCUAAAAAUUAUACAGUUUUGUACAAUAUUAAAAACCUGACCAUGAAUCAUAGUAAAAUUUACUGGAUUUCUUUGUUUGAUGAUCACAAACCUCCAACAUUGAGCAACAAGGUGAAGCUGAUUAUUCAAGAGGACAAUAACACCUCAGGUGAGGACCUUUUUUUGUGGUUUAAGGUGAAACAAGGUGAUGUCUUCACAAAUACUGUAGGACUUUUAACUUUUUAAAUAAGUGGGUCACAAUGUAUAAAUAGUGAAGGAGACAAAUACUAAAUAGUCAAAAACUGUAAACACAAUUCACUCUAAAAAGUAAAAAUGAAGGAAACAACAUUGUAAAAAAAAAAAAAAGAUUACUUUUACCUGAAAUUUGUAUAAGAUUUUCCAGACAAAAGGUUCAGAAAGUAAAAAAAAAAAAAGAUUAAAACAGAUAUUUUCUAUAAAGCAAUAUUAUGUUUGUCUUUUUUUUUCUAGGGUCACCAAAGGUCAACCGAAGAUUUGCACAUGUGAUUUAGCUUCAGAUAUUAACUGAAACAGUGGAAAGUGUCCCCAUAUGGCUGGAGCAGAAUAGAAUAGAAUAGAAUCUAUAAUACUUUAGAAGGAAAUUUAAAAGGGGCAAGCUGCACUAGUACAUAAAAAAACGAUAAAAUAAACAAUAAAACAAUAAAAAAAACAUCAAAGAAUAAGAUCUAUUAAUGAAAAAUACAGGACAAUUCUUUCUGUACUGAAAGAACAGAGCACAUGGACCACAAAAUAAAAUAAAAUUUUAAAAAUGACCAGGUUUAAAAAUACAUCUCUGCUUUUUAUGCAGCAUCUUACUCUACUUGAUUAAAAAAAUCAGCACUAAAGUAGUUUUAAAAAUGAAUAAAUCUUAUGUUAAAAAUGAGUUUGAACACUUAUUAUUCAUACUUUGAUUGAUUUGAAAAAUUGAGAAGAGAAACCUUCUUUUCUAUUGCAUUUUUUUUUAUCAUUUUAGAGAACAAAUUUUUGCCUUUUUCUUUUCUAUUUUUUUUUUACAGAUUGAGCCCUUUAUACUGACUUAUAAUAAUGCAUUUUGUUCUAUAUUUUACUUGUUGAUUAAAAAGUCAAGAGGAUUUCCAAAAAAUAGAGCAGUGUCUCACAUAUUGAUUUACUUAUAACUGCAAAAGUCUCACUUUUUUGCAUCACAAAAAAGCAUAGAUUUUUUUAUUUAAUUCAAAGGGAACUUUUCAGCUUUGUAUUUUUUUAGGCAAUCAGAAAAACCUCAUCAUAAUGGUUUUAGUCAUUGAUUAUUUCCAGUGAUUUGUACAUCAGUUUCCUCUGUUCUGUACACUCACUGCCUGUUACAAAUGUGGUAGGACACAAUAUUUUCGUAGUUUUUUUUUUUUUUGCAUCGAUGAGUAAUUGUUUUUAUCAUAUUCUUUUAACUCCUACAGUUCCUCCGGUAACGACACAUUCAACGACACCUCCAAGCCAUGGAAGUUCCUCUCAUGUCGUCAUACUCCUUGUGGUUACACCUGUGGCCCUGUUUGCUGUUGUGCUGCUAUUCUCCAUCUGUUGUCUGCUGAGAACCAGAGACCGAGGGGACGAUUCACCUCAAAGACUUUCAAAUCCCACCGUGCAGGAAGUAAUAGAAGACUAUUCGACUCUGCCUGGACCCUCCGUGAUCUACAGCGUCCUGGACUUCCCCAAGAGACCUCCGACAGUUGUGGAGUUUGACCCCAAUGACACAGAGUACGCUCACGUCAGCUACACCCCGGACCACAGAGACGCUCCUCACAGAGCUCCAUGCAAACCGGACUCCACGUGGUGUCAAAUGUGAUUGAUGGAUUCCUUGUAAAUUUGAUGAAAAUAUUUAUAUUUUUUUUAUGAUUUCAGGUUGGAGGUGGGGUGUAGUUUACUGUUGCACAAAGAUGUUUGUUCUGGACUCUUUAACUUUGUAACAUUUUCUGUUUUUACUCAAAUAUUUUCAAACCGAUUGCCGACAUUUAAAGGAGUCAUCACAGGAUUAGCUAAGAUUUGGUAGGACUUAAAUCAGAAAAAUUCAGUUGGUCGGACAGCAACUUUUUAAAGAAGUUAAGACGAAACUAUAAAUGAGUAUGCUGCGCGGAAAACCUAAAAAGUGAGUCAGGCAAAUUUGCAUUUUUGUUCAUUUAUGCAGAUGAAAAGCUCAGGUUUUCAUUGCAACAUACUCCAAUUAGGGACUGAGAAAAAAGGAAAAUGUCCGGUUAUUAGUCUCUUACUGGAUCGGAUAAGAAGACAUGAGUCCAUGUGUGUGUGUGUGUGCUAAAAACUUUGCUAUUACGUUAUCUAUUUAUAAUAAACAUGAAAUUCAUGUCUGUUUACAAACUGCUAUGCUUUUCAGUUGGAAUUUGAUGGUUAGAGGAGGAGUUCUUUUUUCCUGAAGCCCCUGAAGUGGUCUCAUUUUGGUUCUGUCUUUAAUACUUGAUGUCAUGUGAUCAGCAAAA